rnacentral:ncRNA from 2 species
GAAUUAUAACGAGAAGCGGAGAGAACGGGCUCUAUGAAACUUCGGCAACCUAUCGCAACGAUAAGGUGCCACGUCCCGACCUGCCAAGGACAGGAAAUAUAAUUA